UGAGAGUUUGAUCCUGGCUCAGAAUCAACGCUGGCGGCGUGCCUAACACAUGCAAGUCGAACGCGAAAACGGGCUUCGGCCCGCAAGUAGAGUGGCAAACGGGUGAGUAACGCGUGGGUGACCUACCUUCGAGUGGGGGAUAACGUUCCGAAAGGGGCGCUAAUACCGCAUGACAUCCCGUCUUUGGAAAGAUGGUGAUCAAAGCUGGGGAUCGCAAGACCUAGCGCUUGUUGAGGGGCCCGCGUCCGAUUAGCUUGUUGGCGGGGUAAUGGCCCACCAAGGCGACAAUCGGUAGCCGGCCUGAGAGGGCGGACGGCCACACUGGGACUGAGACACGGCCCAGACUCCUACGGGAGGCAGCAGCUAAGAAUCUUCCGCAAUGGGCGAAAGCCUGACGGUGCAACGCCGCGUGAGUGAUGAAGGUUUUCGGAUCGUAAAGCUCUGUUGACAGGGAAGA
rnacentral:rRNA from 1 species